rnacentral:lncRNA from 1 species
GAUGUAAACAUACAGGUAGAAUAUGAAAAUGUUAACAACUGAUUUUCUAAUCAAAUUCAGUAAACAAAUUUGGGAAAUACAGUAUAAAGUUUCAUGCUAUUUCCCUUGUUAGUCAUGUUAUGCAUACAUUUCACUGUUGUGUUAACAAAGUCUAAGCCUCUGUUGGAUCCACGUCGGAAAGUUCUAUUCCUAACGUGCGAUUAAUUCAAAGCUUGAAUUUGUAGCUUUACAAAAUUCACGAAAGUGAAGGAAACGUGUAUCUAAAAUAAGCACUAAGUUUACAUAAUUCAGCUUACGACUCACAAAACAGAAAGACGCCUGAGACCACUUUCUUCGUCAAACUUUCACUUGCAUAUAGCAGA